rnacentral:rRNA from 1 species
GACGAACGCUGGCGGCGUGCUUAACACAUGCAAGUCGAGCGGAGCGGCGAACGGGUGAGUAACGCGUGAGUAACUGCCCCCCUCUCUGGGAUAACCGUUGGAAACGGCUGCAAAUACCGGAUAGUGGGGGCUGACUCGCGUCCUAUCAGCUUGUUGGUGGGGUAGUUGCCUACCCAGGCGACGACGGGUAGCCGGCCUGGGAGGGCGACCGGCCACAUGGGGCUGCGAGACGGCGCAAACUCCUACGGGAGGCAGUAGUGGGGAAUAUUGCACAAUCGGGGAAACCCUGUGGCAGAGACGCCGCGGGCGGGAUGCCGGCCCUCGGGUUGUAAACCGCUUUCAGCUAUGACGCGGUAGUCGCAGAAGAAGCACCGGCUAACUACGUGCCAGCAGCCGCGGUAAUUC